rnacentral:rRNA from 1 species
AGCGAACGCUGGCGGCAGGCCUAACACAUGCAAGUCGAACGAACCCUUCGGGGUUAGUGGCGGACGGGUGAGUAACACGUGGGAACGUACCUUUAGGUUCGGAACAACACAGGGAAACUUGUGCUAAUGCCGAAUGUGCCCUUCGGGGGAAAGAUUUAUCGCCUUUAGAGCGGCCCGCGUCUGAUUAGCUUGUUGGUGAGGUAAAGGCUCACCAAGGCUACGAUCAGUAGCUGGUCUGAGAGGAUGAUCAGCCACACUGGGACUGAGACACGGCCCAGACUCCUACGGGAGGCAGCAGUGGGGAAUCUUGCGCAAUGGGCGAAAGCCUGACGCAGCCAUGCCGCGUGAAUGAUGAAGGUCUUAGGAUUGUAAAAUUCUUUCACCGGGGAAGAUAAUGACGGUACCCGGAGAAGAAGCCCCGGCUAACUUCGUGCCAGCAGCCGCGGUAAU